rnacentral:rRNA from 1 species
UGGGGAAUUUUUCGCAAUGGGGGAAACCCUGACGAAGCAAUGCCGCGUGGAUGAUGAAGUCUCUUGGGACGUAAAAUCCUUUCGACGGGGACGAAGCCGCAAGGUUGACGGUACCCGUAGAAGAAGCCCCGGCUAACUCCGUGCCAGCAGCCGCGGUAAUACGGGGGGGGCAAGCGUUGUUCGGAAUUACUGGGCGUAAAGGGUGCGUAGGUGGCCUGCUAAGUCGGAUGUGAAAACUCUGGGCUCAACCCAGAGACUGCAUUCGAAACUGACGGGCUUGAGUUCUGGAGGGGAAAGCGGAAUUCCUGGUGUAGCGGUGAAAUGCGUAGAUAUCAGGAGGAACACCGGUGGCGAAGGCGGCUUUCUGGACAGAUACUGACACUGAGGCACGAAAGCUAGGGGAGCAAACAGGAUUAGAUACCCGGGUAGUCC